rnacentral:rRNA from 1 species
AUGAGCAUGACAUAUCAUCCUGAAACUGAUGGACAGACUGAACGUGUUAAUCACCAGGUUGAAUGUUUUUUGAGGUGUUUCAUCAGUGCUCAUCCGAAGAAAUGGGCCAGGUGGAUCUCACUUUGCGAGUUUUGGUACAAUGCAAAUUGGCACUCGGUACUUAACAAAUCUCCAUUUGAAGUCCUUUAUGGCCAUGGUCGUCGGUACUUUGGAAUUUCUGCUUCUGAUUCCAUUGACGCCGUUGAUUUACAACAAUGGUUGGAUGCUCGGGCAGUCGUUCAGCAGUUGGUGCGCCAGCAUCUGUUGCGUGUUCAACAAAGAAUGAAGCACCAGGCUGACAAGAAACGCACCGGAAGAACAUUUGCUGUUGGUGAUCGGGUAUUUCUCAAACUUCAACCAUAUGCGCAGUCCUCGGUGGUGCACAAAGCUAAUCACAAACUCGCCUUCAAGUACUUUGGUUCAUUUCUUAUCCUGGAGAAGAUUGGCGAGGUGGCUUACCGCUUGCAGUUACCAGCGGCCAGCCGUAUACAUCCAGUUUUCCAUGUUUCACAACUGAAAUGUUGUGUGCAGCCACACCAUGAGGUACUCAAGUCGCUCCCCUCUAUC